rnacentral:lncRNA from 1 species
UGAGUGAUCUCGAACUUUCUUGCCCACAAAAGGCGAACGGUGACGCCCAGACUCGGUUUCUUGGUUCCGUCCCAAAACGUCGAAGAAAGGCACAAUGGCCUAGAAAGGGACGGUCGGACUUGGAACGGUGUCCGAGGCCUCGAAAGUCCACAUCUAGCUACUGGGUGGUUCGAUUCUGAGUGAUCUCGAAGUUUCUUGCCCACAAAAGGCGAACGGUGACGCCCAGACUCGGUUUCUUGGUUCCGUCCGAAAACGCCGAAGAAAGGCACAAUGGCCUAGAAAGGGACGGUCGGACUUGGAACGCGGUCCGAGGCCUCGAAAGUCCACAUCUAGCUACUGGGUGGUCCGAUUCUGAGUGAUCUCGAACUUUCUUGCCCACAAAAGCCGAACGGUGUCGCCCCAGACUCGGUUUCUUGGUUCCGUCCCAAAACGCCGAAGAAAGGCACAAUGGCCUAGAAAGGGACGGUCGGACUUGGAACGGGGUCCGAGGCCUCGAAAGUCCACAUCUAGCUACUGGGUGGUCCGAUUCUGAGUGAUCUCGAAGUUUCUUGCCCACAAAAGCGAACGGUGACGCCCAGACUCGGUUUCUUGGUUCCGUCCCAAAACGCCGAAGAAAGGCCCAAUGGCCUAGAAAGGGACGGUCGGACUUGGAACGGGGUCCGAGGCCUCGAAAGUCCACAUCUAGCUACUGGGUUGUCCGAUUCUGAGUGAUCUCGAAGUUUCUUGCCCACAAAAGCCGAACGGUGACGCCCCAGACUCGGUUUCUUGGUUUUGUCCCAUAACGGCGAAGAAAGGCACAAUGGCCUAGAAAGGGACGGUCGGACUUGGAACGGGGUCCGAGGCCUCGAAAGUCCACAUCUAGCUACUGGGUGGUCCGAUUCUGAGUGAUCUCGAAGUUUCUUGCCCACAAAAGCCAAACGGUGACGCCCUAGACUCGGUUUGUUGGUUCCGUCCCAAAACGUCGAAGAAAGGCACAAUGGCCUAGAAAGGGACAGUCGGACUUGGAACGGUGUCCGAGGCCUCGAAAGUCCACAUCUAGCUACUCGGUGGUCCGAUUCUGAGUGAUCUCGAAGUUUCUUGCCCACAAAAGGCGAACGGUGACGCCUCAGACUCGGUUUCUUGGUUCCGUCCGAAAACGCCGAAGAAAGGCACAAUGGCCUAGAAAGGGACGGUCGGACUUGGAACGCGGUGCGAGGCCUCAAAAGUCCACAUCUAGCUACUGGGUGGUCCGAUUCUGAGUGAUCUCGAACUUUCUUGCCCACAAAAGCCGAACGGUGACGCCCCAGACUCAGUUUCUUGGUUCCGUCCCAAAACGCCGAAGAAAGGCACAAUGGCCUAGAAAGGGACGGUCGGACUUGGAACGGGGUCCGAGGCCUCGAAAGUCCACAUCUAGCUACUCGGUGGUCCGAUUCUGAGUGAUCUCGAAGGUUCUUGCCCACAAAAGGCGAACGGUGACGCCCAGACUCGGUUUCUUGGUUCCGUCCCAAAACGCCGAAGAAAGGCACAAUAGGGUAAUCCAAGCUUCAAGAUUUAUAUUUAGGCUAACUUAAACAAAUCUUAAGUCUAGAUAAAACAUCCAAGUAUAACCAUUAUACAGGAUUUUAACCUAUGAUGUCUAGGUGAAAAACCAUUUUUAUUACCUCACACUCUCACGAAUGCUCAUAAAACUAGGUUAACUAGGCUCAAGAACUGAUUACGAUCUUCAGUAGGAGGUGUUCCGUAAACCGUCAACUUAAGAACCUCCAACCUUAGUCAUCUUAUCUGACUUGUUGACAAGAUUGAACCAGGUGAGCCUUUUGUAACCAGUUUUACAAGAUAUCGACCUAUUUCUAUGAAAAAUGGAAGAUAUGUUUAACCUAAGUGAGCAUGCAUUUAAUCUUUGUUAUUGAUUUUAAAAAGUCUAAUUUAUUUUAUAACACUUAUAAAAACUUCUAUACUUAAUCAAUCAUUUUAUCAAUAUAUACUCUUAUAAAAACAAUCAAUUAAUAUGGAUUUUAAUUUAUUUAACUUUAAUUAAAUCAUAUUUAAUUAAAUUAAAUCAAACAAUAAUUAAUUAAUUUGAUUAAAUCAUAUUUAAUCAAGAAUAACUUAAUUAAUUAAUAAUUAAUUAAUCAUAUUAAUUAAUUUCCAUAUUAAUCAAUUAACAUGCAUACAAUACAAUAUAACCUUUAUAUCAUACAUUUUAAUGCAUGAACAUGUUAACCUAUGGUGGGAUUUUAAAUCUAUAUGACAUUCAAAAUGCACAUACAAAUUUAAAUAACUUAAUCAUACAUCACAUGCAUAAAUAAAAAAAACACCCUAAAAUUGACUGAUUUUUGGCUCCUAAAUUAAGCUAAGUGCUAAAUUAUUACAUAAUUAAUUUGGUGUAGUACAGAACCACUCCCAAAAACUUCGAACCGGCUAAAAAACCAACCGAAACCGCUUGAACCGGCCCAAAAACCAAAUUUAUUGGCUUGAACCGGCCCAGGCGCACACGGGUCGUGCGAAGGCAGGCGCGCGGGCGAAGGCGGGCGCGGGCGCAUGCGGGCGGCGGGCGGAUGCGGGCGCGCAGGCGCAUGCGGCGCGCGGCGCAGCGGCGCGCAGGCGCAUGCGGCGCGGCAGGCGGCGCGGGCGCAUGCGGCGCGCAGGCGGCAGGCGGGCGCGGGGCGCAGGAGGGCGCGCGGCAUGCGGGUCGCGAAGCGGGUCAAGGCCGGGUUUUCGGGUCUGUGACCUUCUUUUCUUCAUUUUUUUCAAUUCUCUCACCCGGUUGAACCAAUUACAGCCUAGCUUCAACUCUAAUGACUUUUUUAUUUUUUAAAAAUUACAAACACUUUGCAACAAUAAAAAUAAGCCAUUAACAAGGCUAAUUACAAUAAUUAGAACAAAAACACUUAAUCUAGAGCCAAAAUCAUAAUAUAUCCAUUUUAGUUCAAACCAAAAUUUUCUAAUAAAUUUGAACCCACAAUGCAAUUGGGUAAAAAUGAAGCUCUGAUCCACCAUGAUAGAACUAAGUCUGCACAGCGGAAAAAGAAUCGAAUUUCUACCCUAAUUGCCACAAAUUAACAUCUUAACCAUAAAACUAAUCAAUUAGGGUUUUAAGAAGUAUUACCUUUGAAGCUUUCAAAAGGUUUGAUGUCUUCUUACAAUUCUACGAGAACCACUAGUACUCAACUGCUAUCCUCUAGACAAAGAACCGGGUUGUGGGACCCAAUUUUGGUGUAGAAAGUAAUGGAGAUAAAAUGAGAUUGGAAGCUUUCUUUUUUCUUUUGUUGAGAUUAUGAAAAGAUAAAAGAGGCAAAAAGUCCUUCAACAUUUGAAAACAUCUCUAUUUAUAGCCUAAUUACAUGCAAAAAUGCAUACAAUUCAAUUGCCAAAUCUCAACACCUAAUAUUCCACUAACAAUUAGUGGAACUUAGUGGGCUAGGUGUCUAUAUCUCAUAUAGCCACAUAUCCCACUAAGAGUUAGUGGGAUUAUCCAACAAAAUGUUGGAUUUUCCCACUAACUUAGUCCAAGGGUAAAAUGGUCAUUUGAUUUUUCUAGUCAAAAGUCAAACUUUGACUUUUCUAAGUCAAAAGUCAAUAUUUUGACUUUUUACCAUUUUGUCCGUCUUGACUAAUUCCAACCUCCCGAGCAUGAAUCCGCAUUCAUUUUUCCAAAAUUCAAAUCACAUUUGAAUAUAAGGCCGGUCAAAGUUUGACUUUUCAAAGUCAAAAGUCAACAUUUUGACUUUUACUAUUUUUGACCAAUUCCGAGCUUCUUAGUAUGAAUCCGCAUUCAUACUUAUAGUAUGUAAAACAUAAAGCUCUAUUUCUAAUUAGAAGACCGACGAUUAUAUCACUGUAUAUGUCGGUUUUCCUUUCUUCUCCCUAUUCGAACAAUUCGACUUAUUUCAUCACACUGUUCUAAGUUUAAUCCAUAUGAGCUAGCAGAGGAACCUAAUGGACCUAUAGAUCAUGGGCUCCAACGAUUCAAGAUUAACUAGCUAAACUCUUUUAAACCGAGUUAAUCAACAUUCGUUAACUAACGGGUCAUUCCACUAAAGUCCCGUAGUUGCACUCCCCUCACUAUAGAUAUAUUUGUGUCCAUUUGAUAAAACCAUAAUCAGUAAGUUAAUCCUUCACAGGUUGCUCGUAACCUUGGCUGGGUCAAAAUACCGUUUUACCCCCAAGAUUACAUCUUGCUCCUUAAGUCCCACUAAUCCACUAUUGAACAAUUGGUUUAAGGUUCAACCUAUAAACUUAAUCCCUCUCGGGCCAAUGAGAGGGUGGGGCCCCUUGUUCAAGACUUGGAUUCAGUGCUUAAGAGAGCAACCUAUCUACUAACCCUAAAGCGGGUAGGAGUGAAUUCCAUCUUGUACCCUAUGUUCCCAGCUAUCCACCCGAUCUUACCCCUGAAAUGGGAGGCUUAUUGGGCCAACGCUGAUGAGCUGCCCUCACCUAUGCAGAUCUAAGGAUAAUCUCGUAUGAACAGGAGUUCAUAGUUAACUCAGGAUUAAGACUAAGUUACCUUGGUCAUCAAUAAUUGAGAUAGUCAGUUUUAAACAGUAAACGGUGUUAUAACGUAAAAAUGACUAAUUCAUGGUUCAGUCUUAUGUAAACAUUUUACAUAGGAUGCCCCCACUUUCAUGUCUCUACAUGAACGAUUAGGAUCACCUCGUUUGUACUACAAAGUGGGCCGCAUCCAUAGUUUCUCUAAAUAAGGCGCCCAACCUUUAUUUCAUAUACUAUAGACUAUUUAGGCUAUAUACUCGAACUUGAUCCACGUUUUAUGUUUACACAUAAAGUUCAAGUUUAUUAAAAAAAUAGCCUUGGAACUUGAUUUAUUGGAUUUAAGAUUAUAAUAUUUAAUUUCUCAAUAACAACUUUAUUGAAUAGAAUAUGAUUUACAAACUACGAGUUUUAGGACAAAAAAUUCCAACAAACUCCCACUUGGACUAAAAUUCCUAGUGGUAUGAGAGAUGUAGUGUGAGAGAAAUAUAUGAAACUAGGGCACAUGGCCAAUAAGUCCUCACUUGUCCUAGUUUACAAACAUCGUACACCUAAACUGUGUAGGUGACCCUCAAACACUUUAGCCAUGAGGGCUUUUGUAAAAUGAUCAGCUUCCAUUGUGGAAUCACUAUACAAGUUUGCUUUAUGCUUCUCUCCAAACUACUGCUCCUCCAUUUAGAGUAAAUACUGAUCCUGAUGUAGACUUUCUCACAUCUUUAUCAGUUUGGAAAUCUGAAUCAGUGUAUCCAGUAAGGAUCAGAUCCUUUGUACGAUACAAGCAUGUAGAAUGUUUUUAACGGCUGUCCAGUGAUCACGUCCAUGAUUGGAUUGAUACCUACUGACCAUUCCUACUGAGUAGCAAAUGUCAGGUCUAGUACAUAACAUUGCAUACAUUAAACUUCCAACAGCGGAAGCAUAGGGAAUAUUUCUCAUAUCCUCAACUUCUUGAGGUGUCUUAGGACAUUGUUCCUUUGACAAAUGAAUUCCAUAUCUGUACGGCAGCAGACCCUUUUGGAAUUCUGCAUUUUAUAUCUAGACAACAUUUUGUCUAUGUAAGAUGCUUGAGACAUGGCUAGUGUUUUGUUCUUACGGUUUCGAACAAUUUGGAUUCCGAGAACGUAUUGUGCAUCUCCCAGAUCUUUCAUUUGAAAUUGCAUAGCUAGCCAUUUCUUGAUAUCAGUAAGAUAUCCUACGUCAUUUCCAAUAAGUAGAAUAUCAUCUACAUAUAAGACUAAAAAAUGCUAUAAUGGAAUUGACGACCUUUUGUAAACACAAGGCUCGUCAACAUUUUGUUCAAAGCCAUAAGAUUUGAUCGCAGUAUCAAAUCUUAUAUUCCAGGAUCUAGAAGCUUGUUUUAAUCCAUAAAUGGAUUUUUUAAGCUUACAAACCUUUUGUUCUUGAUCUUGUUCUAUAAACCCCUCUGGUUGAGACAUAUAGAUACUCUCUUCAAGAUUACCAUUCAAAAAAGCUGUCUUGACAUCCAUCUGCCAAAUUUCAUAAUCAUAAAAGUGGCGAUGGAUAAGAGUAUUCUAAUUGACUUUAACAUGGCAACAGGAGAGAAUUUCCUCAUAGUCUACUCCCUCUCUCUGGGUAUAACCCUUUGCCACAAGUCGAGCCUUGAAAGUCUGUACUUUACCGGCAUGGUCUCGUUUUCUCUUGUAGAUCCAUUUACAACCAAUAGGUUUUACGUCAUUUGUUGAUCUACUAGAGUCCAGACAGAAUUAAAGUACAUAGACUCCAUUUCGAGGUCCAUGGCUUUGAUCCAUUGGUCACGAUCUACAUCUUUCAUUGCCUGUUUAUAGGUUAAUGGAUCCUCUAUGCCAUCGUCAGGUAUGACGACUUGAGUUUCAAUUAAACCCAAAUAGCGAACAGGCUGAUGAACAACCUCCCACUACGUCGAGGCUCUCUCAACUGUUGAGAAGGAUGUGAUUGUCCAGAUUUCCUAGUCUUAUCAACUACCUUAGUGGAUGAACUAGGUUUAUCUAUAGCACUUUUGGAAAUUUCUUUUAAUACUAGUUUACUACGAGGUUGAUGAUCCUGAUGUGGUCUUCCUCUAAGAAUGUGGCAUUUGUUGACACAAAUAUUUUAUUUUCUUGAGGAUCACAAACCACCUCUUGAUUCUUUUGGAUAACCUAUAAAAAAAUAAUUUUGAACGAUGUUCCAAUUUCUUUGGAUUUUGUACCAACACGUGUGCUGGACAACCCCAAAUUCUAAAAUGACGUAAACUGCCUUUACGCCCUUUCCAUAGUUCAUAAGGUGUUUCUGAAACACUUUUAGAGGAACAUUAUUCAAAAUAUAAGCAGCUGUUUCUAAAGCAUAUCCCCAAAAAGAAUCUGACAUCUGAGAAAAACUUAUCAUAGAGCGAACCAUGUCUAACAAGGUCCGGUUUCUUCUUUCUGAUACACCGUUCUGUUGAGGUGUACUAGGUGCAGAGAGUUGUGACUGGAUUCCAUUUCUAUUAAAUAGUCUCGGAAUCGUAAGUCCAUAUACUCUCCACCUCGAUCUGAUCGAAGUAUUUUUAUUGUUUUACCUAAUUCGUUUUUUACUUCAGCCUUAUAUUCUUUGAACUUUUCAAGACUAUUAGACUUAUGAUGUAUUAGGUAAAUAUGACCAUACCUUGAAUAAUCAUCAAUGAAGCUAAUGAAAUAUUCAUAUCCACCUCGAGCUUUGACAUUCAUUGGUCCACAAAGGUCCGAAUGUACGAGCUCUAAGGUCCUUUGGCUCUUAGACCUUUUCCAGUAAAAGAUCUCUUGGUCAUUUUUCCUUCAAGACAAGAUUCACAAGGAGGUAAAGAGUUAUCUUCUAACGGACUUAGAAGCCCACUUUUAACCAAUCUCCCAAUCCUAUUGAGAUUAUGUGACCAAGUCUUAAGUGCCAUAAAUAGGCAUUAGAAGAAACUUUUUGUCUUUUAUUCUGAGUUUCAGCUGUUCUGAAUAUUUCAGUAUUUAAGACAAAAUUUGCUCUAGUUGGUCUUAACUUAUAUAAGUUGUCUUCAAGUAUAGCAGAACAAACUAGAAUUUAUAGAAAACGAACGCUUCAUUAAUUUCCAAAGAUAUUCUAUACAUUUGUUCCAAAAUACAAGAGAUAGAUAUUAAAUUUCUUUUCAUUUGAGGUACAUAUAAGACAUUCUUAAGUAUGACAUAUCAUCCCAAAACGCCGAAGAAAGGCACAAUGGCCUAGAAAGGGACGUCGACUUGGAACGGGGUCGAGGCUCGAAAGUCCACAUCUAGCUACUGGUGGUCCGAUUCUGAGUGAUCUCGAAGUUUCUUGCCCACAAAAGCCGAACGGUGACGCCCCAGACUCGGUUUCUUGGUUCCGUCCCAAAACGCCGAAGAAAGGCACAAUGGCCUAGAAAGGGACGGUCGGACUUGGAACGGGGUCCGAGGCCUCGAAAGUCCACAUCUAGCUACUGGGUGGUCCGAUUCUGAGUGAUCUCGAAGUUUCUUGCCCACAAAAGCCGAACGGUGACGCCCCAGACUCGGUUUCUUGGUUCCGUCCCAAAACGCCGAAGAAAGGCACAAUGGCCUAGAAAGGGACUUGGAACGGGGUCCGAGGCCUCGAAAGUCCACAUCUAGCUACUGGGUGGUCCGAUUCUGAGUGAUCUCGAAGUUUCUUGCCCACAAAAGCCGAACGGUGACGCCCCAGACUCGGUUUCUUGGUUCCGUCCCAAAACGCCGAAGAAAGGCACAAUGGCCUAGAAAGGGACGGUCGGACUUGGAACGGGGUCCGAGGCCUCGAAAGUCCACAUCUAGCUACUGGGUGGUCCGAUUCUGAGUGAUCUCGAAGUUUCUUGCCCACAAAAGCCGAACGGUGACGCCCCAGACUCGGUUUCUUGGUUCCGUCCCAAAACGCCGAAGAAAGGCACAAUGGCCUAGAAAGGGACGGUCGGACUUGGAACGGGGUCCGAGGCCUCGAAAGUCCACAUCUAGCUACUGGGUGGUCCGAUUCUGAGUGAUCUCGAAGUUUCUUGCCCACAAAAGCCGAACGGUGACGCCCAGACUCGGUUUCUUGGUUCCGUCCCAAAACGCCGAAGAAAGGCACAAUGGCCUAGAAAGGGACGGUCGGACUUGGAACGGGGUCCGAGGCCUCGAAAGUCCACAUCUAGCUACUGGGUGGUCCGAUUCUGAGUGAUCUCGAAGUUUCUUGCCCACAAAAGCCGAACGGUGACGCCCCAGACUCGGUUUCUUGGUUCCGUCCCAAAACGCCGAAGAAAGGCACAAUGGCCUAGAAAGGGACGGUCGGACUUGGAACGGGGUCCGAGGCCUCGAAAGUCCACAUCUAGCUACUGGGUGGUCCGAUUCUGAGUGAUCUCGAAGUUUCUUGCCCACAAAAGCCGAACGGUGACGCCCCAGACUCGGUUUCUUGGUUCCGUCCCAAAACGCCGAAGAAAGGCACAAUGGCCUAGAAAGGGACGGUCGGACUUGGAACGGGGUCCGAGGCCUCGAAAGUCCACAUCUAGCUACUGGGUGGUCCGAUUCUGAGUGAUCUCGAAGUUUCUUGCCCACAAAAGCCGAACGGUGACGCCCCAGACUCGGUUUCUUGGUUCCGUCCCAAAACGCCGAAGAAAGGCACAAUGGCCUAGAAAGGGACGGUCGGACUUGGAACGGGGUCCGAGGCCUCGAAAGUCCACAUCUAGCUACUGGGUGGUCCGAUUCUGAGUGAUCUCGAAGUUUCUUGCCCACAAAAGCCGAACGGUGACGCCCCAGACUCGGUUUCUUGGUUCCGUCCCAAAACGCCGAAGAAAGGCACAAUGGCCUAGAAAGGGACGGUCGGACUUGGAACGGGGUCCGAGGCCUCGAAAGUCCACAUCUAGCUACUGGGUGGUCCGAUUCUGAGUGAUCUCGAAGUUUCUUGCCCACAAAAGCCGAACGGUGACGCCCCAGACUCGGUUUCUUGGUUCCGUCCCAAAACGCCGAAGAAAGGCACAAUGGCCUAGAAAGGGACGGUCGGACUUGGAACGGGGUCCGAGGCCUCGAAAGUCCACAUCUAGCUACUGGGUGGUCCGAUUCUGAGUGAUCUCGAAGUUUCUUGCCCACAAAAGCCGAACGGUGACGCCCCAGACUCGGUUUCUUGGUUCCGUCCCAAAACGCCGAAGAAAGGCACAAUGGCCUAGAAAGGGACGGUCGGACUUGGAACGGGGUCCGAGGCCUCGAAAGUCCACAUCUAGCUACUGGGUGGUCCGAUUCUGAGUGAUCUCGAAGUUUCUUGCCCACAAAAGCCGAACGGUGACGCCCCAGACUCGGUUUCUUGGUUCCGUCCCAAAACGCCGAAGAAAGGCACAAUGGCCUAGAAAGGGACGGUCGGACUUGGAACGGGGUCCGAGGCCUCGAAAGUCCACAUCUAGCUAGUGGGUGGUCCGAUUCUGAGUGAUCUCGAAGUUUCUUGCCCACAAAAGCCGAACGGUGACGCCCAAGACUCGGUUUCUUGGUUCCGUCCCAAAACGCCGAAGAAAGGCACAAUGGCCUAGAAAGGGACGGUCGGACUUGGAACGGGGUCCGAGGCCUCGAAAGUCCACAUCUAGCUACUGGGUGGUCCGAUUCUGAGUGAUCUCGAAGUUUCUUGCCCACAAAAGCCGAACGGUGACGCCCCAGACUCGGUUUCUUGGUUCCGUCCCAAAACGCCGAAGAAAGGCACAAUGGCCUAGAAAGGGACGGUCGGACUUGGAACGGGGUCCGAGGCCUCGAAAGUCCACAUCUAGCUACUGGGUGGUCCGAUUCUGAGUGAUCUCGAAGUUUCUUGCCCACAAAAGCCGAACGGUGACGCCCCAGACUCGGUUUCUUGGUUCCGUCCCAAAACGCCGAAGAAAGGCACAAUGGCCUAGAAAGGGACGGUCGGACUUGGAACGGGGUCCGAGGCCUCGAAAGUCCACAUCUAGCUACUGGGUGGUCCGAUUCUGAGUGAUCUCGAAGUUUCUUGCCCACAAAAGCCGAACGGUGACGCCCCAGACUCGGUUUCUUGGUUCCGUCCCAAAACGCCGAAGAAAGGCACAAUGGCCUAGAAAGGGACGGUCGGACUUGGAACGGGGUCCGAGGCCUCGAAAGUCCACAUCUAGCUACUGGGUGGUCCGAUUCUGAGUGAUCUCGAAGUUUCUUGCCCACAAAAGCCGAACGGUGACGCCCCAGACUCGGUUUCUUGGUUCCGUCCCAAAACGCCGAAGAAAGGCACAAUGGCCUAGAAAGGGACGGUCGGACUUGGAACGGGGUCCGAGGCCUCGAAAGUCCACAUCUAGCUACUGGGUGGUCCGAUUCUGAGUGAUCUCGAAGUUUCUUGCCCACAAAAGCCGAACGGUGACGCCCCAGACUCGGUUUCUUGGUUCCGUCCCAAAACGCCGAAGAAAAGCACAAUGGCCUAGAAAGGGACGGUCGGACUUGGAACGGGGUCCGAGGCCUCGAAAGUCCACAUCUAGCUACUGGGUGGUCCGAUUCUGAGUGAUCUCGAAGUUUCUUGCCCACAAAAGCCGAACGGUGACGCGCCCAGACUCGGUUUCUUGGUUCCGUCCCAAAACGCCGAAGAAAGGCACAAUGGCCUAGAAAGGGACGGUCGGACUUGGAACGGGGUCCGAGGCCUCGAAAGUCCACAUCUAGCUACUGGGUGGUCCGAUUCUGAGUGAUCUCGAAGUUUCUUGCCCACAAAAGCCGAACGGUGACGCCCCAGACUCGGUUUCUUGGUUCCGUCCCAAAACGCCGAAGAAAGGCACAAUGGCCUAGAAAGGGACGGUCGGACUUGGAACGGGGUCCGAGGCCUCGAAAGUCCACAUCUAGCUACUGGGUGGUCCGAUUCUGAGUGAUCUCGAAGUUUCUUGCCCACAAAAGCCGAACGGUGACGCCCCAGACUCGGUUUCUUGGUUCCGUCCCAAAACGCCGAAGAAAGGCACAAUGGCCUAGAAAGGGACGGUCGGACUUGGAACGGGGUCCGAGGCCUCGAAAGUCCACAUCUAGCUACUGGGUGGUCCGAUUCUGAGUGAUCUCGAAGUUUCUUGCCCACAAAAGCCGAACGGUGACGCCCCAGACUCGGUUUCUUGGUUCCGUCCCAAAACGCCGAAGAAAGGCACAAUGGCCUAGAAAGGGACGGUCGGACUUGGAACGGGGUCCGAGGCCUCGAAAGUCCACAUCUAGCUACUGGGUGGUCCGAUUCUGAGUGAUCUCGAAGUUUCUUGCCCACAAAAAGCCGAACGGUGACGCCCCAGACUCGGUUUCUUGGUUCCGUCCCAAAACGCCGAAGAAAGGCACAAUGGCCUAGAAAGGGACGGUCGGACUUGGAACGGGGUCCGAGGCCUCGAAAGUCCACAUCUAGCUACUGGGUGGUCCGAUUCUGAGUGAUCUCGAAGUUUCUUGCCCACAAAAGCCGAACGGUGACGCCCCAGACUCGGUUUCUUGGUUCCGUCCCAAAACGCCGAAGAAAGGCACAAUGGCCUAGAAAGGGACGGUCGGACUUGGAACGGGGUCCGAGGCCUCGAAAGUCCACAUCUAGCUACUGGGUGGUCCGAUUCUGAGUGAUCUCGAAGUUUCUUGCCCACAAAAGCCGAACGGUGACGCCCCAGACUCGGUUUCUUGGUUCCGUCCCAAAACGCCGAAGAAAGGCACAAUGGCCUAGAAAGGGACGGUCGGACUUGGAACGGGGUCCGAGGCCUCGAAAGUCCACAUCUAGCUACUGGGUGGUCCGAUUCUGAGUGAUCUCGAAGUUUCUUGCCCACAAAAGCCGAACGGUGACGCCCCCGACUCGGUUUCUUGGUUCCGUCCCAAAACGCCGAAGAAAGGCACAAUGGCCUAGAAAAGGACGGUCGGACUUGGAACGGGGUCCGAGGCCUCGAAAGUCCACAUCUAGCUACUGGGUGGUCCGAUUCUGAGUGAUCUCGAAGUUUCUUGCCCACAAAAGCCGAACGGUGACGCCCCAGACUCGGUUUCUUGGUUCCGUCCCAAAACGCCGAAGAAAGGCACAAUGGCCUAGAAAGGGACGGUCGGACUUGGAACGGGGUCCGAGGCCUCGAAAGUCCACAUCUAGCUACUGGGUGGUCCGAUUCUGAGUGAUCUCGAAGUUUCUUGCCCACAAAAGCCGAACGGUGACGCCCCAGACUCGGUUUCUUGGUUCCGUCCCAAAACGCCGAAGAAAGGCACAAUGGCCUAGAAAGGGACGGUCGGACUUGGAACGGGGUCCGAGGCCUCGAAAGUCCACAUCUAGCUACUGGGUGGUCCGAUUCUGAGUGAUCUCGAAGUUUCUUGCCCACAAAAGCCGAACGGUGACGCCCCAGACUCGGUUUCUUGGUUCCGUCCCAAAACGCCGAAGAAAGGCACAAUGGCCUAGAAAGGGACGGUCGGACUUGGAACGGGGUCCGAGGCCUCGAAAGUCCACAUCUAGCUACUGGGUGGUCCGAUUCUGAGUGAUCUCGAAGUUUCUUGCCCACAAAAGCCGAACGGUGACGCCCCAGACUCGGUUUCUUGGUUCCGUCCCAAAACGCCGAAGAAAGGCACAAUGGCCUAGAAAGGGACGGUCGGACUUGGAACGGGGUCCGAGGCCUCGAAAGUCCACAUCUAGCUACUGGGUGGUCCGAUUCUGAGUGAUCUCGAAGUUUCUUGCCCACAAAAGCCGAACGGUGACGCCCCAGACUCGGUUUCUUGGUUCCGUCCCAAAACGCCCGAAGAAAGGCACAAUGGCCUAGAAAGGGACGGUCGGACUUGGAACGGGGUCCGAGGCCUCGAAAGUCCACAUCUAGCUACUGGGUGGUCCGAUUCUGAGUGAUCUCGAAGUUUCUUGCCCACAAAAGCCGAACGGUGACGCCCCAGACUCGGUUUCUUGGUUCCGUCCCAAAACGCCGAAGAAAGGCACAAUGGCCUAGAAAGGGACGGUCGGACUUGGAACGGGGUCCGAGGCCUCGAAAGUCCACAUCUAGCUACUGGGGUGGUCCGAUUCUGAGUGAUCUCGAAGUUUCUUGCCCACAAAAGCCGAACGGUGACGCCCCAGACUCGGUUUCUUGGUUCCGUCCCAAAACGCCGAAGAAAGGCACAAUGGCCUAGAAAGGGACGGUCGGACUUGGAACGGGGUCCGAGGCCUCGAAAGUCCACAUCUAGCUACUGGGUGGUCCGAUUCUGAGUGAUCUCGAAGUUUCUUGCCCACAAAAGCCGAACGGUGACGCCCCAGACUCGGUUUCUUGGUUCCGUCCCAAAACGCCGAAGAAAGGCACAAUGGCCUAGAAAGGGACGGUCGGACUUGGAACGGGGUCCGAGGCCUCGAAAGUCCACAUCUAGCUACUGGGUGGUCCGAUUCUGAGUGAUCUCGAAGUUUCUUGCCCACAAAAGCCGAACGGUGACGCCCCAGACUCGGUUUCUUGGUUCCGUCCCAAAACGCCGAAGAAAGGCACAAUGGCCUAGAAAGGGACGGUCGGACUUGGAACGGGGUCCGAGGCCUCGAAAGUCCACAUCUAGCUACUGGGUGGUCCGAUUCUGAGUGAUCUCGAAGUUUCUUGCCCACAAAAGCCGAACGGUGACGCCCCAGACUCGGUUUCUUGGUUCCGUCCCAAAACGCCGAAGAAAGGCACAAUGGCCUAGAAAGGGACGGUCGGACUUGGAACGGGGUCCGAGGCCUCGAAAGUCCACAUCUAGCUACUGGGUGGUCCGAUUCUGAGUGAUCUCGAAGUUUCUUGCCCACAAAAGCCGAACGGUGACGCCCCAGACUCGGUUUCUUGGUUUCGUCCCAAAACGCCGAAGAAAGGCACAAUGGCCUAGAAAGGGACGGUCGGACUUGGAACGGGGUCCGAGGCCUCGAAAGUCCACAUCUAGCUACUGGGUGGUCCGAUUCUGAGUGAUCUCGAAGUUUCUUGCCCACAAAAGCCGAACGGUGACGCCCCAGACUCGGUUUCUUGGUUCCGUCCCAAAACGCCGAAGAAAGGCACAAUGGCCUAGAAAGGGACGGUCGGACUUGGAACGGGGUCCGAGGCCUCGAAAGUCCACAUCUAGCUACUGGGUGGUCCGAUUCUGAGUGAUCUCGAAGUUUCUUGCCCACAAAAGCCGAACGGUGACGCCCCAGACUCGGUUUCUUGGUUCCGUCCCAAAACGCCGAAGAAAGGCACAAUGGCCUAGAAAGGGACGGUCGGACUUGGAACGGGGUCCGAGGCCUCGAAAGUCCACAUCUAGCUACUGGGUGGUCCGAUUCUGAGUGAUCUCGAAGUUUCUUGCCCACAAAAGCCGAACGGUGACGCCCCAGACUCGGUUUCUUGGUUCCGUCCCAAAACGCCGAAGAAAGGCACAAUGGCCUAGAAAGGGACGGUCGGACUUGGAACGGGGUCCGAGGCCUCGAAAGUCCACAUCUAGCUACUGGGUGGUCCGAUUCUGAGUGAUCUCGAAGUUUCUUGCCCACAAAAGCCGAACGGUGACGCCCCAGACUCGGUUUCUUGGUUCCGUCCCAAAACGCCGAAGAAAGGCACAAUGGCCUAGAAAGGGACGGUCGGACUUGGAACGGGGUCCGAGGCCUCGAAAGUCCACAUCUAGCUACUGGGUGGUCCGAUUCUGAGUGAUCUCGAAGUUUCUUGCCCACAAAAGCCGAACGGUGACGCCCCAGACUCGGUUUCUUGGUUCCGUCCCAAAACGCCGAAGAAAGGCACAAUGGCCUAGAAAGGGACGGUCGGGACUUGGAACGGGGUCCGAGGCCUCGAAAGUCCACAUCUAGCUACUGGGUGGUCCGAUUCUGAGUGAUCUCGAAGUUUCUUGCCCACAAAAGCCGAACGGUGACGCCCCAGACUCGGUUUCUUGGUUCCGUCCCAAAACGCCGAAGAAAGGCACAAUGGCCUAGAAAGGGACGGUCGGACUUGGAACGGGGUCCGAGGCCUCGAAAGUCCACAUCUAGCUACUGGGUGGUCCGAUUCUGAGUGAUCUCGAAGUUUCUUGCCCACAAAAGCCGAACGGUGACGCCCCAGACUCGGUUUCUUGGUUCCGUCCCAAAACGCCGAAGAAAGGCACAAUGGCCUAGAAAGGGACGGUCGGACUUGGAACGGGGUCCGAGGCCUCGAAAGUCCACAUCUAGCUACUGGGUGGUCCGAUUCUGAGUGAUCUCGAAGUUUCUUGCCCACAAAAGCCGAACGGUGACGCCCCAGACUCGGUUUCUUGGUUCCGUCCCAAAACGCCGAAGAAAGGCACAAUGGCCUAGAAAGGGACGGUCGGACUUGGAACGGGGUCCGAGGCCUCGAAAGUCCACAUCUAGCUACUGGGUGGUCCGAUUCUGAGUGAUCUCGAAGUUUCUUGCCCACAAAAGCCGAACGGUGACGCCCCAGACUCGGUUUCUUGGUUCCGUCCCAAAACGCCGAAGAAAGGCACAAUGGCCUAGAAAGGGACGGUCGGACUUGGAACGGGUCCGAGGCCUCGAAAGUCCACAUCUAGCUACUGGGUGGUCCGAUUCUGAGUGAUCUCGAAGUUUCUUGCCCACAAAAGCCGAACGGUGACGCCCCAGACUCGGUUUCUUGGUUCCGUCCCAAAACGCCGAAGAAAGGCACAAUGGCCUAGAAAGGGACGGUCGGACUUGGAACGGGGUCCGAGGCCUCGAAAGUCCACAUCUAGCUACUGGGUGGUCCGAUUCUGAGUGAUCUCGAAGUUUCUUGCCCACAAAAGCCGAACGGUGACGCCCCAGACUCGGUUUCUUGGUUCCGUCCCAAAACGCCGAGAAAAGGCACAAUGGCCUAGAAAGGGACGGUCGGACUUGGAACGGGGUCCGAGGCCUCGAAAGUCCACAUCUAGCUACUGGGUGGUCCGAUUCUGAGUGAUCUCGAAGUUUCUUGCCCACAAAAGCCGAACGGUGACGCCCCAGACUCGGUUUCUUGGUUCCGUCCCAAAACGCCGAAGAAAGGCACAAUGGCCUAGAAAGGGACGGUCGGACUUGGAACGGGGUCCGAGGCCUCGAAAGUCCACAUCUAGCUACUGGGUGGUCCGAUUCUGAGUGAUCUCGAAGUUUCUUGCCCACAAAAGCCGAACGGUGACGCCCCAGACUCGGUUUCUUGGUUCCGUCCCAAAACGCCGAAGAAAGGCACAAUGGUCCUAGAAAGGGACGGUCGGACUUGGAACGGGGUCCGAGGCCUCGAAAGUCCACAUCUAGCUACUGGGUGGUCCGAUUCUGAGUGAUCUCGAAGUUUCUUGCCCACAAAAGCCGAACGGUGACGCCCCAGACUCGGUUUCUUGGUUCCGUCCCAAAACGCCGAAGAAAGACACAAUGGCCUAGAAAGGGACGGUCGGACUUGGAACGGGGUCCGAGGCCUCGAAAGUCCACAUCUAGCUACUGGGUGGUCCGAUUCUGAGUGAUCUCGAAGUUUCUUGCCCACAAAAAGCCGAACGGUGACGCCCAGACUCGGUUUCUUGGUUCCGUCCCAAAACGCCGAAGAAAGGCACAAUGGCCUAGAAAGGGACGGUCGGACUUGGAACGGGGUCCGAGGCCUCGAAAGUCCACAUCUAGCUACUGGGUGGUCCGAUUCUGAGUGAUCUCGAAGUUUCUUGCCCACAAAAGCCGAACGGUGACGCCCCAGACUCGGUUUCUUGGUUCCGUCCCAAAACGCCGAAGAAAGGCACAAUGGCCUAGAAAGGGACGGUCGGACUUGGAACGGGGUCCGAGGCCUCGAAAGUCCACAUCUAGCUACUGGGUGGUCCGAUUCUGAGUGAUCUCGAAGUUUCUUGCCCACAAAAGCCGAACGGUGACGCCCCAGACUCGGUUUCUUGGUUCCGUCCCAAAACGCCGAAGAAAGGCACAAUGGCCUAGAAAGGGACGGUCGGACUUGGAACGGGGUCCGAGGCCUCGAAAGUCCACAUCUAGCUACUGGGUGGUCCGAUUCUUUGUGAUCUCGAAGUUUCUUGCCCACAAAAGCCGAACGGUGACGCCCCAGACUCGGUUUCUUGGUUCCGUCCCAAAACGCCGAAGAAAGGCACAAUGGCCUAGAAAGGGACGGUCGGACUUGGAACGGGGUCCGAGGCCUCGAAAGUCCACAUCUAGCUACUGGGUGGUCCGAUUCUGAGUGAUCUCGAAGUUUCUUGCCCACAAAAGCCGAACGGUGACGCCCCAGACUCGGUUUCUUGGUUCCGUCCCAAAACGCCGAAGAAAGGCACAAUGGCCUAGAAAGGGACGGUCGGACUUGGAACGGGGUCCGAGGCCUCGAAAGUCCACAUCUAGCUACUGGGUGGUCCGAUUCUGAGUGAUCUCGAAGUUUCUUGCCCACAAAAGCCGAACGGUGACGCCCCAGACUCGGUUUCUUGGUUCCGUCCCAAAACGCCGAAGAAAGGCACAAUGGCCUAGAAAGGGACGGUCGGACUUGGAACGGGGUCCGAGGCCUCGAAAGUCCACAUCUAGCUACUGGGUGGUCCGAUUCUGAGUGAUCUCGAAGUUUCUUGCCCACAAAAGCCGAACGGUGACGCCCCAGACUCGGUUUCUUGGUUCCGUCCCAAAAACGCCGAAGAAAGGCCCAAUGGCCUAGAAAGGGACGGUCGGACGUGGAACGGGGUCCGAGGCGUCGAAAGUCAACAUCUAGCUACUGGGUGGUCCGAUUCUGAGUGAUCUCGAAGUUUAUUGCCCACAAAAGCCGAACGGUGACGCCCCAGACUCGGUUUCUUGGUUCCGUCCCAAAACGCCGAAGAAAGGCACAAUGGCCUAGAAAGGGACGGUCGGACUUGGAACGGGGUCCGAGGCCUCGAAAGUCCACAUCUAGCUACUGGGUGGUCCGAUUCUGAGUGAUCUCGAAGUUUCUUGCCCACAAAAGCCGAACGGUGACGCCCCAGACUCGGUUUCUUGGUUCCGUCCCAAAACGCCGAAGAAAGGCACAAUGGCCUAGAAAGGGACGGUCGGACUUGGAACGGGGUCCGAGGCCUCGAAAGUCCACAUCUAGCUACUGGGUGGUCCGAUUCUUUGUGAUCUCGAAGUUUCUUGCCCACAAAAGCCGAACGGUGACGCCCCAGACUCGGUUUCUUGGUUCCGUCCCAAAACGCCGAAGAAAGGCACAAUGGCCUAGAAAGGGACGGUCGGACUUGGAACGGGGUCCGAGGCCUCGAAAGUCCACAUCUAGCUACUGGGUGGUCCGAUUCUGAGUGAUCUCGAAGUUUCUUGCCCACAAAAGCCGAACGGUGACGCCCCAGACUCGGUUUCUUGGUUCCGUCCCAAAACGCCGAAGAAAGGCACAAUGGCCUAGAAAGGGACGGUCGGACUUGGAACGGGGUCCGAGGCCUCGAAAGUCCACAUCUAGCUACUGGGUGGUCCGAUUCUGAGUGAUCUCGAAGUUUCUUGCCCACAAAAGCCGAACGGUGACGCCCCAGACUCGGUUUCUUGGUUCCGUCCCAAAACGCCGAAGAAAGGCACAAUGGCCUAGAAAGGGACGGUCGGACUUGGAACGGGGUCCGAGGCCUCGAAAGUCCACAUCUAGCUACUGGGUGGUCCGAUUCUUUGUGAUCUCGAAGUUUCUUGCCCACAAAAGCCGAACGGUGACGCCCCAGACUCGGUUUCUUGGUUCCGUCCCAAAACGCCGAAGAAAGGCACAAUGGCCUAGAAAGGGACGGUCGGACUUGGAACGGGGUCCGAGGCCUCGAAAGUCCACAUCUAGCUACUGGGUGGUCCGAUUCUGAGUGAUCUCGAAGUUUCUUGCCCACAAAAGCCGAACGGUGACGCCCCAGACUCGGUUUCUUGGUUCCGUCCCAAAACGCCGAAGAAAGGCACAAUGGCCUAGAAAGGGAAGGUCGGACUUGGAACGGGGUCCGAGGCCUCGAAAGUCAACAUCUAGCUACUGGGUGGUCCGAUUCUGAGUGAUCUCGAAGUUUCUUGCCCACAAAAGCCGAACGGUGACGCCCCAGACUCGGUUUCUUGGUUCCGUCCCAAAACGCCGAAGAAAGGCACAAUGGCCUAGAAAGGGACGGUCGGACUUGGAACGGGGUCCGAGGCCUCGAAAGUCCACAUCUAGCUACUGGGUGGUCCGAUUCUUUGUGAUCUCGAAGUUUCUUGCCCACAAAAGCCGAACGGUGACGCCCCAGACUCGGUUUCUUGGUUCCGUCCCAAAACGCCGAAGAAAGGCACAAUGGCCUAGAAAGGGACGGUCGGACUUGGAACGGGGUUCGAGGCCUCGAAAGUCCACAUCUAGCUACUGGGUGGUCCGAUUCUUUGUGAUCUCGAAGUUUCUUGCCCACAAAAGCCGAACGGUGACGCCCCAGACUCGGUUUCUUGGUUCCGUCCCAAAACGCCGAAGAAAGGCACAAUGGCCUAGAAAGGGACGGUCGGACUUGGAACGGGGUCCGAGGCCUCGAAAGUCCACAUCUAGCUACUGGGUGGUUCGAUUCUGAGUGAUCUCGAAGUUUCUUGCCCACAAAAGCCGAACGGUGACGCCCCAGACUCGGUUUCUUGGUUCCGUCCCAAAACGCCGAAGAAAGGCACAAUGGCCUAGAAGAAAGGACGGUCGUACUUGGAACGGGGUCCGAGGCCUCGAAAGUCCACAUCUAGCGACUGGGUGGUUCGAUUCUGAGUGAUCUCGAAGUUUCUUGCCCACAAAAGCCGAACGGUGACGCCCCAGACUCGGUUUCUUGGUUCCGUCCCAAAACGCCGAAGAAAGGCAAAAUGGCCUAGAAAGGGACGGUCGGACUCGAAACGGGGUCCGAGGCCUCGAAAGUCCACAUCUAGCGACUGGGUGGUCCGAUUCUGAGUGAUCUCGAAGUUUCUUGCCCACAAAAGCAGAACGGUGACGCCCUAGACUCGGUUUCUUGGUUCCGUCCCAAAACGCCAAAGAAAGGCACAAUGACCAAGAAAGGGAUGGUCGGACUUGGAACGGGGUCUGAGGCCUCGAAAGUCCACAUCUAGCUACUGGGUGGUCCGAUUCUUUGUGAUCUCGAAGUUUCUUGCCCACAAAAGCCGAACGGUGACGCCCCAGACUCGGUUUCUUGGUUCCGUCCCAAA